AGGAGUUUAGGUUACCCAGACCAAGAGCCUUCAAAGCCCUAAGCAAGUACUAUAUACUUAACUCCUG
rnacentral:tRNA from 1 species